AAAGAUUUAGUUAAAAUAUAACAUUAACUUGUCAUGUUAAAAUUAUUUAAAGAAAAAUAAUCUUUU
rnacentral:tRNA from 1 species